CGCGUAGGUGGUUAGGUAAGCGAGAUGUGAAAGCCCCGGGCUUAACCUGGGAACGGCAUUUCGAACUGUCUGACUAGAGUAUGGUAGAGGGUAGUGGAAUUUCCUGUGUAGCGGUGAAAUGCGUAGAUAUAGGAAGGAACACCAGUGGCGAAGGCGGCUACCUGGACCAAUACUGACACUGAGGUGCGAAAGCGUGGGGAGCAAAACA
rnacentral:rRNA from 1 species